CCGGCGCGGCCGGAGGUGCAGCCCGGCCCCGGCGCGCCACCGCGUGAGUCACCGCCCCGCCCCGCCCCGGCACCCGGUGCGGAGGGUCCCGGCCGGCGCGCGGAGCUGGACGCCCCAGAGGCGGGGACCCUUCCGAGAUACCAGUGUGCCUUUUACCAAAGGGUGACUGCACCCACUCAAUAAAGGAAGCCAGACUGAACUUCUAAAAUGAGAAUUCCAUGCAAUUCUCAGAGUCUUGAAGCUUGAACUGGUAUCUAAGACUACUCAAGCCAUUUGGUGGCUGCCGAUGGAGGAAAGAAAUGAACUCAGAUCAGCAUGCAAGUCUCCAAGACAUGACCAGUUCUCUAUGGCUUCCCCAACCGGCAAAGACCCUUUUUGGACAUGGAAUUGAAAACUCUGUCACUCCCAGAAGACAUUACAAACUAUGAAGUGCAAGCAGCAAGAAGAGACCAGGUUGCACUUUCAACAUUUUGUUGGAAAUCUCAG